CAAGCUUAACACAUGCAAGUCGAGCGGGGAAGUGGUAGCUUGCUACCUAACCUAGCGGCGGACGGGUGAGUAAUGCUUAGGAAUCUGCCAUUUAGUGGGGGACAACAUUCCGAAAGGAAUGCUAAUACCGCAUACGUCCUACGGGAGAAAGCAGGGGAUCUUCGGACCUUGCGCUAAAUGAUGAGCCUAAGUCGGAUUAGCUAGUUGGUGGGGUAAAGGCCUACCAAGGCGACGAUCUGUAGCGGGUCUGAGAGNGAUGAUCCGCCACACUGGGACUGAGACACGGCCCAGACUCCUACGGGAGGCAGCAGUGGGGAAUAUUGGACAAUGGGCGGAAGCCUGAUCCAGCCAUGCCGCGUGUGUGAAGAAGGCCUUUUGGUUGUAAAGCACUUUAAGCGAGGAGGAGGCUCUCCUAGUUAAUACCUAGGAUGAGUAGGACGUUACUCGCAGAAUAAGCACCGGCUAACUCUGUGCCAGCAGCCGCGGUAAUACAGAGGGUGCGAGCGUUAAUCGGAUUUACUGGGCGUAAAGCGUGCGUAAGCGGCUUUUUAAGGUCGGAUGUGGAAUCCCCGAGCCUAACUUUGGGGAUUGCUUCGAUAC
rnacentral:rRNA from 1 species